rnacentral:rRNA from 1 species
UGGGGAAUUUUGGACAAUGGGCGCAAGCCUGAUCCAGCCAUGCCGCGUGCAGGAAGAAGGCGUUAUGCGUUGUAAACUGCUUUUUGCCAGGGGAUAAAAAGACCGUGCGCGGUUAAUUGAAGGUACCUGGUGAAUAAGCCACGGCUAACUACGUGCCAGCAGCCGCGGUAAUACGUAGGUGGCAAGCGUUGUCCGGAUUUAUUGGGUUUAAAGGGUGCGUAGGUGGCCCUGUAAGUCAGUGGUGAAAUAUCUCAGCUUAACUGAGAGGGUGCCAUUGAUACUGCAGGGCUUGAGUACAGAUGAGGUAGGCGGAAUUGACGGUGUAGCGGUGAAAUGCUUAGAUAUCGUCAAGAACACCGAUAGCGAAGGCAGCUUACUAGACUGUAACUGACGCUGAGGCACGAAAGUGUGGGGAUCAAACAGGAUUAGAUACCCUCGUAGUCCCUGAGCGGGCUGGCAAGGCGCAU